GCACAAGCAGCGGAGCGUGUGGUUUAAUUCGAUGCUACACGAAGAACCUUACCAGGGUUUGACAUACAAGUAGUAGGGAAAGGAAACUGGACCGACCCUUCGGGGAGCUUGUACAGGUGGUGCAUGGUUGUCGUCAGCUCGUGUCGUGAGAUGUUGGGUUAAGUCCCGCAACGAGCGCAACCCCUGUGGUUAGUUGCCAGCAAGUAGCGUUGGGCACUCUAGCCAGACUGCCGGUGAUAAACCGGAGGAAGGCGGGGAUGACGUCAAGUCCUCAUGGCCCUUACAUCCCGGGCUACACACGUGCUACAAUGGCAGGUACAGAGGGCUGCAAAGCCGCGAGGUAGAGCGAAUCCCAGAAAACCUGUCUCAGUCCGGAUUGAAGUCCGCAACUCGACUUCAUGAAGGCGGAAUCGCUAGUAACCGCGAAUCAGCAGGUCGCGGUGAAUACGUUCCCGGGCCUU
rnacentral:rRNA from 1 species